AACGAACGCUGGCGGCAGGCCUAACACAUGCAAGUCGAACGCUCGUAGCAAUACGGGAGUGGCAGACGGGUGAGUAACACGUGGGAACCUUUCCUAUGGUUCGGAAUAGCUCAGGGAAACUUGGGGUAAAUACCGGAUAAGCCCUUCGGGGGAAAGAUUUAUCGCCAUUGGAUGGGCCCGCGGUCGGAGUUAGCUAGUUGGUGAGGUAACGGCUCACCAAGGCAACGAUCCGUAGCUGGUCUGAGAGCAUGAUCAGCCACACUGGGACUGAGACACGGCCCAGACUCCUACGGGAGG
rnacentral:rRNA from 1 species